rnacentral:rRNA from 1 species
UCAGAGGGAGGUAGAAUUNCACGUGUAGCAGUGAAAUGCGUAGAGAUGUGGAGGAAUACCGAUGGCGAAGGCAGCCUCCUGGGAUAACACUGACGUUCAUGCUCGAAAGCGUGGGUAGCAAACAGGAUUAGAUACCCUGGUAGUCCACGCCCUAAACGAUGUCAAUUAGCUGUUGGGCAACUUGAUUGCUUAGUAGCGUAGCUAACGCGUGAAAUUGACCGCCUGGGGAGUACGGUCGCAAGAUUAAAACUCAAAGGAAUUGACGGGGACCCGCACAAGCGGUGGAUGAUGUGGAUUAAUUCGAUGCAACGCGAAGAACCUUACCUGGUCUUGACAUGUACGGAAUCCUCCAGAGACGGAGGAGUGCCUUCGGGAGCCGUAACACAGGUGCUGCAUGGCUGUCGUCAGCUCGUGUCGUGAGAUGUUGGGUUAAGUCCCGCAACGAGCGCAACCCUUGUCAUUAGUUGCCAUCAUUUAGUUGGGCACUCUAAUGAGACUGCCGGUGACAAGCCGGAGGAAGGUGGGGAUGACGUCAAGUCCUCAUGGCCCUUAUGACCAGGGCUUCACACGUCAUACAAUGGUCGGUACAGAGGGUAGCCAAGCCGCGGGGUGGAGCCAAUCUCACAAAACCGAUCGUAGUCCGGAUUGCACUCUGCAACUCGAGUGCAUGAAGUCGGAAUCGCUAGUAAUCGCAGGUCAGCAUACUGCGGUGAAUACGUUCCCGGGUCUUGUACACACCGCCCGUCACACCAUGGGAGUGGGGGAUACCAGAAGUAGGUAGGGUAACCGCAAGGAGCCCGC